GUUGCCAAUAACAUUCCUCAAAGGGCUGAAUUUUGGCUCAUUUUUUGUUUGAAGUUUCAUGCUUGUUAUGUAUUAUUAUCGGUGAGUUGUGAGUUAAAAUUUCUGUGAUUAGAAGGUUGGAUCUUUUAAAAUUUCGGUGUUUAAAUGCUUUAAAUGGUAGUGAGCUGUUAGCUGUUUCUCAUUAAAUUUUGUAAUUGGUCACAUUUAUUUGGAUUUUUUUCUUCUUUUCAGUUUGACUAGUACUCUUUUGCUUAAUUUGUAAAUAUGAUUAAUUUCAUCCCUUAAAGUUCAAUCUAGUUGAACUAUUUCAAAUGCAAAUGUUCGUGUGUCGUGAUCUUGUUUGUGCCUAGAUUGUGC
rnacentral:misc_RNA from 1 species